GGGCGGGUCACCGCCAUGCCCCACCGGUAACGUCACUACAUGGGAAGAGCACGGCAAAAAUACGGAUGCCGAUGAGACCCGCGUGGGAUAACGUCAACAAAAAGGUCUGUCGGAGUCAGCGCCCGGGCUACUCGGGUGACGAAGUUAAUCUGACUGCGAUGAUGUUAUUGGUUAACCCGAAGCCGGUGCUUUAGUAAGUCGACCCACUAUAUGUGAGUAUUGUGGUCAGCACCACAUGGACUACUGUGUCUGAUUAACUUUUUUGUAUAAAGCAAAUUUAGUCUUUCUUUGAUUCCUAUGCAGGCCUGAAAAUGCCUGCUGAAGAGCCCCCAGUUCAAGAUGCAGAGCAGAGACAAACUGGCGCCACCUGCAGGUUGAGAGGGGAGGCAGGGCCGUCCAGAGGGGAGGCGGGGCCGUCCAG